AUUUUCUGCCACCGAAUACAUUAGCAUGGGAUAAUGGAAUAGGACCCUGUCCUCCUAUUUUCAGUUGGUUUUGGCACGCGAGGACCAGGGUAAUGAUUAAUAGGGAUAGUUGGGGGCAUUAAUAUUUAAUUGUCAGAGGUGAAAUUCUUGGAUUUAUGAAAGAUUAACUUCUGCGAAAGCAUCUGCCAAGGAUGUUUUCAUUAAUCAAGAACGAAAGUUAGGGGAUCGAAGACGAUCAGAUACCGUCGUAGUCUUAACCAUAAACGAUGCCGACCAGCGAUUAGGAGACGUUGAAUACAAAACACCACCAUCGGUGCGGUCGUCCUUGGCGCGUCGYGGCUUGCYGCGGCGUGCGAGGGCGGUUUAGCCUGAUGGCAUCGGUGAAUGACUCCCCUAGC
rnacentral:rRNA from 1 species